UACGUAGGGGGCAAGCGUUGUCCGGAAUCAUUGGGCGUAAAGCGCGCGUAGGCGGCCCGGUAAGUCCGCUGUAAAAGUCCAGGGCUCAACCUCGAGACGUCGGCGGAAACCAUCUGGCUAGAGUCCGGAAGAGGAGAGUGGAAUUCCUGGUGUAGCGGUGAAAUGCGCAGAUAUCAGGAAGAACACCCGUGGCGAAGGCGGCUCUCUGGGACGGUACUGACGCUGAGACGCGAAAGCGUGGGGAGCGAACAGG
rnacentral:rRNA from 1 species